GAUGAACGCUGGCGGCGUGCCUAAUACAUGCAAGUCGAUCGAACGGACGAGAAGCUUGCUUUUCUGAUGUUAGCGGCGGACGGGGGAGUAACACGUGGAUAACCUACCUAUAAGACUGGGAUAACUUCGGGAAACCGGAGCUAAUACCGGAUAAUAUUUUGAACCGCAUGGUUCAAAAGUGAAAGACGGUCUUGCUGUCACUUAUAGAUGGAUCCGCGCUGCAUUAGCUAGUUGGUAAGGUAACGGCUUACCAAGGCAACGAUGCAUAGCCGACCUGAGAGGGUGAUCGGCCACACUGGAACUGAGACACGGUCCAGACUCCUACGGGAGGCAGCAGUAGGGAAUCUUCCGCAAUGGGCGAAAGCCUGACGGAGCAACGCCGCGUGAGUGAUGAAGGUCUUCGGAUCGUAAAACUCUGUUAUUAGGGAAGAACAUAUGUGUAAGUAACUGUGCACAUCUUGACGGUACCUAAUCAGAAAGCCACGGCUAACUACGUG
rnacentral:rRNA from 1 species